rnacentral:rRNA from 1 species
AUUGAACGCUGGCGGUAGGCCUAACACAUGCAAGUCGAACGAGUGGCGGACGGGUGACUACUGUCUGGGAAACUGCGUGAUGGAGGGGGAUCACUAAUGGAAACGGUAGCUAAUACCGCCUACCACCAGAUGUGCCGAGGUGGGAUUAGCUUGUUGGGGGGGUAACGGCUCACCCAGACGACGAUCUCUACCGGGUCUGGGAGGAUGACCAGCCACACUGGAACUGAGACACGGUCCAGACUCCUACGGGAGGCAGCAGUGGGGAAUAUUGCACAAUGGGCGAAAGCCUGAGGCAGCCAUGCCGCGUGUAUGAAGAAGGCCUUCGGGUUGUAAAGUACUUGCAGCGGGUAGGCGUUACCAGCAGAAGAAGCACCGGCUAACUCCGUGCCAGCAGCCGCGGUAAUAC